rnacentral:rRNA from 1 species
GAUGAACGCUAGCGGCAGGCUUAACACAUGCAAGUCGAGGGGUAUAGUUCUUCGGAGCUAGAGACCGGCGCACGGGUGCGUAACGCGUAUGCAAUCUACCUUUUGCAGAGGGAUAGCCCAGAGAAAUUUGGAUUAAUACCUCAUAGUAUGUGAGAAUGGCAUCAUUUUCACAUUAAAGUCACAACGGCAAAAGAUGAGCAUGCGUCCCAUUAGCUUGUUGGUAAGGUAACGGCUUACCAAGGCAACGAUGGGUAGGGGUCCUGAGAGGGAGAUCCCCCACACUGGUACGGAGACACGGACCAGACUCCUACGGGAGGCAGCAGGGAGGAAUAUUGGACAAUGGGCGCAAGCCUGAUCCAGCCAUGCCGCGUGCAGGAUGACGGUCCUAUGGAUUGUAAACUGCUUUUGUACAGGAAGAAACACUGGUUCGUGAACCAGCUUGACGGUACUGUAAGAAUAAGGAUCGGCUAACUCCGUGCCAGCCGCCGCGGUAAAAC